AUUUUCUACUCAAUUAUCUUUAUAAUAAGAGCGAAAUAAUAAAUAAAUGAAUAGUAAAACAGACGACUAAAGAUAAGGAACAUAUAAUAAAAAAGAAAUAUGAGAAGUAAGAAAGAAAGAGGGAAACACAGGAAGUUUUCGGAUAUUCUGUGCGCGUUCCCGAGGCCCUUCGACUUUCCAUCCCAGAAAUGAUAAAUGCGGUGAGCAGCGCAUUCACAAGAGUUACGAUUAAUUUCAUAAUCCAGUUUGGUAGUUUUAAGAAGCGAGUUCUUGCAUUCAUCCUCCGCGAGCCUCGGCGGGGAUAAGGAGCGCCAGGGAGCCCAAGGUCUCUCUGGCGAGUGUGGCAGUACUGGAGGGCUCCCCGAGGGAAGCCUUGGUGCUCCCCGGGGCGUCCGCGGAGUUACCGGAGAUCUGCACGGGUAGAUGGGGCUCGUUAGCCGUGGUAGGCAGUCCAUCUAGGAGAGCAAACUCCGAACAAUAUACCCGGGCAGGUGAGGCUCGUUAGCCGUGGUAGGCAAUUCGCCUAGGAGAGCAAACUCCGAACAAUAAACCCGGGCAGGUGGAGGUCGUUAGCGUGAGCAGUUCACCUAGGAGAGCAAACUCUGAUCAUAAACCCGGGCAGGUGGAGGUCGUUAGCGUGAGCAGUUCACCUAGGAGAAGGAAAACUCUGACCACAAACCCGGCCAGGUGGAGGUCGUUAGCCGUGGUAGGCAAUCUGCCUAGGAGAGGGACAACUCCAAACAACAAACACGGGCAGGCUGGGCUCGUUAGCCGUCAUAGGCAAUACACCUAGGAGAGCAAACUCCGAACAAAAAACCCGGACAGGUUGGGCUCGUGAGCCGUCAUAGGCAAUACACCUAGGAGAGCAAACUCCGAACAAUAAACCCGGGCAGGUUGGGCUCGUGAGCCGUCAUAGGCAAUACACCUAGGAGAGCAAACUCCGAAUAAAAAACCCGGGCAGGUUGGGCUCGUGAGCCGUCAUAGGCAAUACACCUAGGAGAGCAAACUCCGAACAAUAAACCCGGGCAGGUGGAGCUCGUUAGCGAAAGCAGUUCAUCUAGGAGAGCAAACUCCGAACAAUAAACCCGGGCAGGUGGAGCUCGUUAGCGUGAGCAGUUCAUCUAGGAGAGCAAACUCCGAUUACAAACCCGGGCAGGUGGAGGUCGUUAGCGUGAGCAGUUCACCUAGGAGAGCAAACUCCAAACAAUAAACCCGGGCAGGUGGAGCUCGUUAGCGUGAGCAGUUCACCUAGGAGAGCAAACUCCGAACAAUAAACCCGGGCAGGUGGGGCUCGUUAGCGUGAGCAGUUCAUCUAGGAGAGCAAACUCCGAUUACAAACCCGGGCAGGUGGAGCUCGUUAGCGUGAGCAGUUCACCUAGGAGAAGGAAAACUCUGACCACAAACCCGGCCAGGUGGAGGUCGUUAGCCGUGGUAGGCAAUCUGCCUAGGAGAGGGACAACUCCAAACAACAAACACGGGCAGGCUGGGCUCGUUAGCCGUCAUAGGCAAUACACCUAGGAGAGCAAACUCCGAAUAAAAAACCCGGACAGGUUGGGCUCGUGAGCCGUCAUAGGCAAUACACCUAGGAGAGCAAACUCCGAAUAAAAAACCCGGGCAGGUUGGGCUCGUGAGCCGUCAUAGGCAAUACACCUAGGAGAGCAAACUCCGAACAAUAAACCCGGGCAGGUGGAGGUCGUUAGCGAAAGCAGUUCAUCUAGGAGAGCAAACUCCGAACAAUAAACCCGGGCAGGUGGAGCUCGUUAGCCGUGGUAGGCAAUCUGCCUAGGAGAGGGACAACUCCGAACAACAAACCCGGGCAGGUGGAGCUCGUUAGCCGUGGUAGGCAAUCUGCCUAGGAGAGGGACAACUCCGAACAACAAACCCGGGCAGGAGGGGGUCGUUAGCCGUGGUAGGCAGUCCUCCUAGGAGAAGGAAAACUCCGAAAUCAAACCAACCAAACACACACACACACACACACAACCAACCAACCGGGGAGGUGGGGCUCGUUAUAGGCGUCGUAGACAAUCCACCAAGGGGAAUCAUCAAAUAAAAGGAUAAUAAAAGCGAACACACGAGAAGAAGAAUAUGAAAUUAGAACCGGACAAAAAAGGAUUAUAUAAGAUGGAACACCGAAUAAAGGAUAGUUAGGAAAACAGCA